GAUGAACGCUAGCUACAGGCUUAACACAUGCAAGUCGAGGGGCAUCAUGGCGGUCGCUUGCGACCGCUGAUGGCGACCGGCGCACGGGUGCGUAACGCGUAUCGAACCUGCCGCAUACCCGGGGAUAGCCUUGCGAAAGCAAGAUUAAUACCCGAUGUUCUCACUGUUCCGCAUGUUACGGUGAGCAAAGAAUUUCGGUAUGCGAUGGCGAUGCGUCCCAUUAGCUAGUUGGCGGGGUAACGGCCCACCAAGGCUCCGAUGGGUAGGGGUUCUGAGAGGAAGGUCCCCCACAUUGGAACUGAGACACGGUCCAA
rnacentral:rRNA from 1 species